rnacentral:piRNA from 1 species
UACCAUGUUGUUUGUGGAUUUGUACGGUC